CAUGCAAGUCGAACGAUGAAGCCCAGCUUGCUGGGUGGAUUAGUGGCGAACGGGUGAGUAACACGUGGGUGAUCUGCCCUGCACUCUGGGAUAAGCCUGGGAAACUGGGUCUAAUACCGGAUAUGACCUCGGGAUGCAUGUUCUGGGGUGGAAAGUUUUUCGGUGCAGGAUGAGCCCGCGGCCUAUCAGCUUGUUGGUGGGGUAAUGGCCUACCAAGGCGACGACGGGUAGCCGGCCUGAGAGGGCGACCGGCCACACUGGGACUGAGACACGGCCCAGACUCCUACGGGAGGCAGCAGUGGGGAAUAUUGCACAAUGGGCGCAAGCCUGAUGCAGCGACGCCGCGUGAGGGAUGACGGCCUUCGGGUUGUAAACCUCUUUCACCCAUGACGAAGCGCAAGUGACGGUAGUGGGAGAAGAAGCACCGGCCAACUACGUGCCAGCAGCCGCGGUAAUACGUAGGGUGCGAGCGUUGUCCGGAAUUACUGGGCGUAAAGAGCUCGUAGGCGGUUUGUCGCGUCGUCUGUGAAAUCCCGCAGCUCAACUGCGGGCUUGCAGGCGAUACGGGCAGACUCGAGUACUGCAGGGGAGACUGGAAUUCCUGGUGUAGCGGUGAAAUGCGCAGAUAUCAAGAGGAACACCGGUGGCGAAAGCGGGUCUCUGGGCAGUAACUGACGCUGAGGAGCGAAAGCGUGGGUAGCGAACAGGAUUAGAUACCCUGGUAGUCCACGCCGUAAACGGUGGGCGCUAGGUGUGGGUUUCCUUCCACGGGAUCCGUGCCGUAGCCAACGCAUUAAGCGCCCCGCCUGGGGAGUACGGCCGCAAGGCUAAAACUCAAAGAACCUUACCUGGGUUUGACAUGUACCGGACGACUGCAGAGAUGUGGUUUCCCUUGUGGCCGGUAGACAGGUGGU
rnacentral:rRNA from 1 species